rnacentral:ncRNA from 1 species
CUAGUUUGACAUUGUGAAAAGACAUAGGAGGUGUAGAAUAGGUGGGAGCCUCGGCGCCGGUGAAAUACCACUACUCCUAUCGUCUUUUUACUUAUUUAAUAAAGCGGGGCUGGAUUUUCCAUCCUAGAGAGACCUUAGAAGGCUGCUUGCGCUACUGCUAUCUUCUUUUCCACGUGUUAACGGAACCUCUUAAAUGCAG